UUUGUCAUUUUCAGGUAGUUUUGUGGUUUGUUUGUUUUUUGCAACCACAUUGCUUUUAAUUGAGAUUGAAUUAAUUGUUGACAAAAACUCUCAAAGCUCUUAAGAAACAUCAGCUGCCUUUAUUUUUUUAAAAUUUUUUUAAAGAUUCUAUUUAUCCACUCGAGACACACACACACACACACACACACACACACACACACACACACGGGGGGGGAGGGGCGCGCAGAGAUACAGGCAGAGAGAGAAGCAGGCUCCACGCAGGGAGCCCGACGUGGGACUCGAUCCCAGGACUCCAGGAUCACGCCCUGGGCCGAAGGCAGGCGCUAAACUGCUGAACCACCCAGGGAUCCCCUGCCUUUAUAUUGAGUUUCUCCCUCUACACAUACUGUAAGAAUUUAGGACUCAGUACUAGACUCUUAACAUUAUCAAAUCCAAUUAUUUUCAGAUUUUGCCCCUCAUUCCAGCCCCUCCCAAAUCUUCUUAGACUCUGAUUCUGCUAUAAAAUAACUACAUCGUCACACCAAUCUAUGUCUCCUGUAGAAGUGGUGAGCAGGCCCCUAGAAUGUUCAUCUAGCUCACUGAUAAAGAUAUUGAGGCAUGCACAAGGCUGUGAACUAUUUCUCUGGCAAAUCACCAGGACACUAGGAAGCCCUCACCGGUUUUGACAUCAAUCCAUUAAUGAGUAUUCUUUAAAUAUGACUCCUGAACAGUUAAUAACCCACUAAAAUGUUCUAGCAUCCAACCCUUUCUUCUCUAUCUUAACCAGAAGUAUAUCAUUAGAGACAUCGCCAAUUGUUUUGCUGAAGUCCAGAUGCCUGAAUGGAAAUGUGUGUACAUUGUCUUUAUCUGCCAACCCCCCACUGAGGAAUGGAAAUGGGCCGGACUAACAGGACUUGUUCUUGUGAGCUCAUGCUGGGUCCUAUAAUCACUUCUUUGUCAUUUGGGUGCCUAUUAUAACAUCGCUUUAGUAACACAUUCUGGAAUCUCGUCUGAGAUCCAUAUCAAGCGCAAUCAUCCGUAGUUUACAGAAUCCAUUUUCUACCCGUUUUAGAAAAUUGGAAGGAUAUUUACUCAUUUCCAGCCUUCAAAGUUCUCUCAACUUCUUUCCCAAGCAGCAUGCCUAUCCUGUGUCUGAUCUCCAACUGGUCCCAAAUACAGCUGAAAGGUCUUCUGGGAAAGCAGAUCACAGAAGGAGUACUGCACUGAGACCGAAGGAGCAGGAUUCUGAGAUGAUGGGGCCUGGGCUACCUGGUGCUUAGGAACUUUGGGGAGUUUGAGAUUACCCUCCUGGUGCUUGAAGCCAUGAACCUCAGCGGACCUGCUUUCCCUGGGUGCACCUGACACUCUUC
rnacentral:lncRNA from 12 species